rnacentral:rRNA from 1 species
UACGUAGGGUGCGAGCGUUGUCCGGAAUUACUGGGCGUAAAGAGCUCGUAGGUGGUUUGUCGCGUCGUCUGUGAAAUUCCGGGGCUUAACCUCGGGCGUGCAGGCGAUACGGGCAAUACUUGAGUGCUGUAGGGGAGACUGGAAUUCCUGGUGUAGCGGUGGAAUGCGCAGAUAUCAGGAGGAACACCGAUGGCGAAGGCAGGUCUCUGGGCAGUAACUGACGCUGAGGAGCGAAAGCAUGGGUAGCGAACAGGAUUAGA